rnacentral:lncRNA from 1 species
UUGGUUUGACUAUAUUUGGACCAUUACAUUAGUUAUAUAUUUAGUUCUAGGUUGUUUCUAGUUUAACUUUUAAGAUUUCUAGCUAGCAAGUUAAAUAUAUCAAAUUAAUGGUCAAUUAUAAUUGUUAUUCCAAGUCCAUCAGGUUAUUUAGUGUAUGCACAUGUUCACGCAUUUUGUUACUCGAUCCGCAUUCGUUCAUAUAGUUGUGCUCGUAGAUCUGAUAGUACAUAUGCGAAAGUUUCGAAUAUUUGAGUGGUUCUCUAAAAGAAAACACUUUUGAAGUGGAAGAAAGGAUUGUGUGAGAGAUUGGUGCUUAACAAAACUGUCAAUAAUGUUGAUGUGAAUCUCAAAUUUUUGAGAAGAAGAAGCACGCUAUGUGUGAGUCUUCCUCCGAUUGAUAGCUCUUCUUUUGCAUCAACAAGUUCCUUUCUACAUUUGUGAUUGUUGCACAGAAUCUCCACCAUGUUGGGGGACCAAGCAGGGAAUAGCUAGUAGCACGUUGAAGUUGAUUUUAGCUCUCAGAUGACAAGACAAUUGUAAAAUCAUGCCUGAUCGUGGUUUAGUGGAUUUAUCACUAGAAUAAUUCGAAUUAAAAUUAUUAUAACCGAUAUAUUGAAAUUAUUUAAACUUUUGAAAUAGUUUAUUAUAAUCUAUAAUAUUAAUUUCAAAAUGUCUUGUGCUC